rnacentral:rRNA from 1 species
GGUCCCGCCUGCCCUGUGACCCCAAGUUUAACGGCCGCGGUAUCCUGACCGUGCAAAGGUAGCGCAAUCACUUGUCCCUUAAAUGAGGACCUGUAUGAAUGGCAUAACGAGGGCUUAACUGUCUCCUUUCCCCAGCCAAUGAAAUUGAUCUUCCCGUGCAGAAGCGGGAAUACCAACAUAAGACGAGAAGACCCUAUGGAGCUUUAGACACUAGAACAGACCAUGUCAGCUACCCCUAUAAAAAAGUAGUAAUUAUUGAACCCCUGUUCUCCGUCUUCGGUUGGGGCGACCACGGGGAAUAAUAAAACCCCCAUGUGGACCGAGAGCACACCACUCCCAAAACCACGAGCCACCGCUCUAAAUAACAGAAUUUCUGACCAAAAAGAUCCGGCAACGCCGAUCAACGGACCCAGUUACCCUAGGGAUAACAGCGCAAUCCUCUUCAAGAGUCCAUAUCGACAAGAGGGUUUACGACCUCGAUGUUGGAUCAAGACAUCCUAAUGGUGCAGCCGCUAUUAAGGGUUCGUUUGUUCAACGAUUAAAGUCUU